UAGAAUUUUUUUUCCAAGUAUCAAGAAAAGCCGGAGCCUAUUAGAAGCCUCAUAUAAUUGAAGAGAAGGAGUAAGUUUCACCCACAUGGCAACCCCUAGCACCAUUGUUUUCACUCAAUUGAAGCACUACCAGACAAAGCCAUUGCAGAUAUAUGUCAACCAAGGAAGUAUUAAAGAUCAGCUUUCGAGGUGGAAAGCAGAAGAGACCCACCUCAACAGCAAGAAGGAAUAAAAGAAGGCAUUUACUUAAAUUCUAAAAGCAUCAUCAUCAGACACUGGCUUGAACUAAUUGUUAACUUUGGUUGGCAAGUCGGUGUGAAAAAGGACGGGACACUCUGUGGAUUGGCUCUUUAGUGCAUGUUGGACUAGUUGUUGGUGUUAUAUCUCUAAAUCAAUUGAUAACAAGUGCUGCUUCACAAUCUAUAUACCAUGUUCAAGACCGGUCCAUAAGACAAACCAUUCAAGCAAUCGAUUAUGGCAUAUAUUUUAAGGGGGCAUACUUUUAUUUUAUUGUUUCACAUUAAAAUUUUGUUAAUAUUUAUAUGUAAAUAUAAUUUAUAGUUAUGUUGAAAAUAGUAAUAUUUAUAAGAACUGUAAGGAUUGA